CGUGAUAUUGGUUCGGCUCAUC
rnacentral:miRNA from 1 species